rnacentral:rRNA from 1 species
UACAGAGGGGGCGAGCGUUGUUCGGAAUUAUUGGGCGUAAAGAGCUCGUAGGCGGUUUGUCGCGUCUGCCGUGAAAGUCCGGGGCUCAACUCCGGAUCUGCGGUGGGUACGGGCAGACUAGAGUGAUGUAGGGGAGACUGGAAUUCCUGGUGUAGCGGUGAAAUGCGCAGAUAUCAGGAGGAACACCGAUGGCGAAGGCAGGUCUCUGGGCAUUAACUGACGCUGAGGAGCGAAAGCAUGGGGAGCGAACAGG